AUUGAAGAUUAAUUGAAUUUUUUAAAAUUUAGAAUUUAUCGAGGCUUGUGCAAACUAUGCGCUGUGUAACUGAACGCACUCUGCUGCUAUUACAGCCAACUUACCUCUGGCUGCAGCAACGAGUAGGUUAUUAGCGAGUAAAAAAUUCAAAAUGGUCGCCCUGUUUUGUUGAGUGCGCGAAGAAAAUUUCUGCUCCGCUUCAGAACUAAUUAUUUAUCAAUUGAAAAGGAAGAAAUUAAUAAAGUUUAGUGAAAAACAUUCAAUAUAUUCCAUACUUUCAUUACAAUAUAAAGAUUUCGCGCAAUUACAACAAAACAGUGCAGAAAUACUGUGAGAAAUAACACACCACAACUUCAUAUCGUGCGCAAAGUGUAUGUCAAAAAAGAAAAAAAGAAACGAAAAUUGUUCCCCCAUCUGCCUCUAAGCAUUUUUCGGUGCACAGCGACGGUGAAAAGCAAACAAGCGAAAAAGUAUUGAGUAUUGAACGUAUAUGCAUUGAGUGUGCAAAUAGCAACGGGCGACGAGAAAACAGUUUUCCUAAUAAUCUUUGUGUUAUGAAUAAUAUUGAUAUAAAAAAUUGAUUGCUUAAAAUUCUUGGAAGCCACGAGUUUAACCAAUACAACCAGAGCCAGUGUUUUACCUACAAAAAGUGAGGGAAAAUCCAAUCAAACAAAAGAAAGAAAUCGCGCUUCCAAUCAAGCACGUCUUCAAAGUAAGAGAACAAAGCACUUUAAGUGGCUUACCAGCGUUCAGCAGGAGGGAAGCGGUCAAGCAUAAAACAGCUUUGGAUACGCCGCAUUCCUCCUCGCCAUUAGGGCGGAGCAAAACGUUUAGCAAAUAUGGAUUAAUAGCAACUACAAAUGCCUACAGAAUUUACUUUUUAUUUUGCAAUUCAAGAUAUACUAUGUACAUAUAUGUAUAUAUUAUUUAAGUGUUACUUUUGUGUAUGUCAUGUUUGAACUACGUCAUUGUUCGCACAACUAUUUGUAAUAAAAGCACAAAAACAAACAUCAUUAUUAAACAGUUCGUAUGUAGUUAAUUAACAUCGUUUAGAAGCAUUUAAGUGAAACUCUUAACAAAAUUGUGCAAUUGCCAUAUAGUCAAUAACCUAGAUAAAUUGACAGUAUAUCUAACGUUAAUACUUCAAAAAAAAAAAAAAAGUUGUAUAAAGUGGCCAUUAUUGUGGUUUUACUUAUCCCUCAUUCACAUACAUUAUAAUCAGUGACGAGACAAGAGACAUUGUUAUCGGAAACGCAUAGAAAGCUGGCUGGAAGUUAAUAAUUUCAUAAACGCAACAAUUACACAAUUCGUCAAAAUUAAUGUUUACAUAUUUAAUCAUCAUAGAGGGCAAUAAAAAGCUUAACACUGGACCGGAAGCGUGUCUUUAAAGGGUAAUGGCGGCCUCCACUCAGGGAGAAAUUCGAGUGGGUCCCGGCCACCAGGUAAACGAUGUCUAUGCAAAAUUGCCCGAUUAUAAUCCAAUUUCAAGCUUCCCCGUUGACAAAGAGAGCGACGAACGCGAAUUAGAAGUACCAAGAUGGAAUCCUGGCAUUGUGGCCGAUGGCGAUUUGUUAAUGUUUCUGCGUGCAGCGCGCUCUAUGGCUGCAUUUCAAGGAAUGUGUGAUGGUGGUUUAGAAGACGGUUGUUUAGCUGCUAGUCGUGACGAUACAACACUUAACGCUUUGGAUAUCUUACACGAUUCUGGUUACGAUCCAGGUAGAGCAUUACAGGCACUCGUUAAGUGCCCGGUUUCCAAGGGCAUUGAUAAGAAGUGGACAGAAGACGAGACGAAGAAAUUUAUUAAGGGCUUACGGCAAUUUGGAAAGAAUUUCUUUCGCAUACACAAAGACUUACUACCGCACAAAGAGACACCCGAAUUGGUUGAAUUUUACUAUUUGUGGAAGAAGACACCGGGUGCCAAUAAUAAUCGACCGCAUCGUCGGCGCCGGCAAAGUGCCUUGCGUCGCAAUCGUGUCACACGCGCUAGUAAUACACCUCCGAAGAAGGAGGAUACACCGGAACCACAAACGGCGACGACGGCGUCUGCGGCGGCAGAUUCGACGCGCUCGUCGCCCGUUGUCUCCAAGGAGGAGAAUAGCUCUCUAACCGAGGACGAUAUCAGCGAGUGCGACAGCGAUUCCAGUCUUACAAACAAGAGGGAUGAAUCACCAUCUAGAAUGAGGACAAGGAAUAAACAACAGCAACAACAACAACAACAGAAUAAUAAUACAAAAGAACAAACAACACCACAAGUAGCAAACGGUAAACGACCCAAACGUGGUACUGAAACACCCGAUACAGUAACAGCGGCUGAUAGUCCAAAGACACCAACUAAAGGAGGUAAUAACGCAAGUGCAAACGCAAAUACCGAGAAUAAUACAACAACGACGGUGGCGGCGAAUAAACGUAAAGGCGGCAAGCAGGAUACGCCGAGCAAGAAGAAGCGUACCGAUGUGGAUGGUAGCGCAGGUUCUGGCAGUGGUGGUGGUAGUGGCGAUGUCACCGAUGACGGCAGCCUUAGUAAGGAUAGUAGUGCUAAGCAGCGUAAACGGCCAGAUAGUCCGGCGGAGGAGAGUAUGAACUCUGAUAGCCGGCCGGAUUCAGUGUUGGAUGAUGCCGAAUCGAAUACGACCGAUACCGUUGAGCAGUCACUGAAGGAUGGUAAAGACAGUUCGGCUGGUAAAGAGGAUAGUGGUGCAGCAGAUGGUGAUUCGAAGGCAGAAAUUAACGAGAAGCCAGAAAAACCGGCUGAAGACGUCAAAGAGACCAUCAAAAAUGACGAUGAAGAGACAAAUAUACAGGCACCUGUUACCGGACAACCUCCGGCAGCACCACCAUCUUCGCCAAGUGAUACCGUCGGUGUUAGCACAAAGGAACCAGCGUCAAAUGCAAACGAGGCUGAAGGCAUGAAUGUGGUCAGUUCGCCGCCGGUACCAAUGAAAGUGCCGACCAUAGCAACAGUUGAGGCGCUCAACGCUUCUAUUGGACGCGGCGAAUUGCGCACGGAACGUAAGGACUCCGUAGAGAAAAUGGAUAUGUCGGAAAGUAACGCAGUUGCGGUCGAUAUGGCGAAGGAGCAAGAGAUGAUGAAGAAGAUCGCCAAUAUGAAACAGGAGUCAAUGCAACAGCAGCAGCAGCACCAACAACAACAACAACAACAACAACAACAACAACAACAGCAACAGCAACAACAACUGAUGCCGCCGAACAACACCAAUUUGAGUAUGCCGGAAACUGCCGUUUUCAUAAAGAAAGAACCUUUAGAUGACUCUAUGGAUGCGACCUGCAAUCAGAAUAGUAACGAACCACAAGAUCUAAAGGUCAAAGUCGAAGUUAAAAAUGAAGAGUGCAAAAGUGGUUCUAGUGGCGGCAUGCCACCCACAUCGAUGUCUUCAACGGUUAAUGAUGCAACUGGUGGAUCUGAUGCUCCACCACAACCGCCGCACAUGCAUAUGCACAUGCCGCCUGGGGGCAUACAACCGCCACCUGGCUAUAUCAUGGACGGGCAGCUUAAGUAUGGACCACCACCGCAUCAAUCCAUGCCAAGCAAUGAUCAUAACGCACCCCCUACAUCGGGAAUGCCAUUAGGAGGACCACCACCAACGCACAAAUAUCCCGUUGAUAUGGAAAUGAAAUACAAUGAGUCUGCUGCUGCGGCAGCGGCGGCUGCUGCUGCUGCUGCUGGCAUUAAAUAUGAGGGUGGUAAGUUUGCUAUGCAGGAUAUAAAGUAUCCGCCACCGCCACUGGAACAUGCCAUGAAGUAUGGCACCGUGCAAGAUAUGCAAGUAGCGGCAGCGGCGGCGGCAGCUGCUGCAGCAGCGGGUAAAUAUGAUAUGAAAUUCGCACUGGAGCAACAGGGUAAAUAUCCUGGGGAUCUAUCGUUACAUCAGCAACCGCCUAAAGGUUUUCCGGGUGAACCCCUCAAACUUGCCGACAUGAAAGGCUCAGCCAUUUAUAACAUGCCAAAUGCUGAUGGUAAAUAUGCACCACCGGCCAAUCAGUCGGGCGACGGAGGUGGUUUGAAGUAUGCCGGACCUGGUGCACCUCAAGACCCACAACCACCAUCAACACACGGUGCGCCGCCUGGUGCCACGCCGCCACCGGGCAUUGCGAUGCCAAAACCGCACUACCAGCAUGAGGUGCAACAUCCAUUGGCGCGUUCCGCUUUUGAGUCGAGCUUAAUGUUGAAAUAUGGUGAUCCAAUGGUUGCUAAAUAUGGUUCACCACAAGAUUUGAAAUAUCCACCACCACCACAAAGCGGAAAUGAUGGUGGACCAAUGAAGCCGUCACCUUAUGCGGAAAAUCUUGUUAAAAGUUCACCGUAUGGACAGCAGGAACCUGGUGGUCUAAAAUACCCGCCAUCGGAAAGUCCCAUAGAUGCGUCAUCUCGUUCGACCCCCGGGCAGGAUAGCCAAGGUAGCAAUAGUAGCUCACAACCGUCGUCGCAGCAGCAGCAAUUCCAGUCACCGCAUCCCUCUCCACACUUGCCCUCACCCGCCGGUGGUGGCUUGCCACCUGGCAUGCAUCCUCAAAAUCUGGUAUCCCCGCACGGACCGCCAACUCAUGGCCAAAUGAAUUCCGGUCUGCCAUCAGGGGUAUCUGGACCACCUCCGCCUGGUUCGAUGCAUCAUCCACACCUGACACCAUCACCAAACAACUCACAGCAAAUGCAGGGAUCACAUUCACAGUCCUCUGCUGCAUCUUCGAUGGCACCAACAUCGGUUGGCGCCCCACCACCGCUGUCAACAGUCGCACCCUCCGGCCUGCACCCUCAACACCUCCCGCCCAGCCAUUUGCAACAAUUACAUCGCCAGCAUCCUGAUAUGCCUUCUGGUAUGCAUCCACAUGCACCAAUUCCACUUACUCUGCAAGGACAUGAUCCGAGAGGAGGGCCACCACCAUCUUCGCACCAGAUGCCUCCACAGCCCAUGCAAUCGAAUACAGUGCGUACGCCAUCACCGGCGCAGCAACCACAAUCGCGCAAUUUACACGAGGAACGUAUGGGCAUCAAUAGUAGUACGCCAACUGGACAGCCGCGUGAGCCUCCAACAUCACAAGCUUCAAUGCCCCCGCAGCAAUCGCCACAUGCUCACCGCAGUUCUCCGUUGACUAGCAUGCCCGGCAACCCACCACCGGGCCUUAUUGGUCAUCCUAUGCCCAUACAUCCACAUCUCGCACAUUUACCACCCGGUCAUCCGGCCCAUGCGGCUGUCGCUGGUGUUGGCCAUCCUGGCCAUCCAAUAUUACAGCACUCGAUGGCUGGUCUUGCACCAGGUGCUGGUGGUCCAAUUGCUUUAUUGGCUGGACCACCCUCAUUGACUGGUAUGCCAGAAUCGGCACUAAGCAGACGCACUCCACCAUCGCAUAUACAACCGCCGCAUUCCUCGUCUGCACCGCCACACUCGUCUGUCGCUGUUAGUAUGUCUUCUACUACCACAUCUGCCAGCACUGCGUCAAUCACGAAUACAGUGCCAUCAUCUGCCUUCAGUCGUGCCAGUCCAAGUGUACAAGGGCCCAACUCCAGUAUAGGUGGCCCGCAAAAUAUCGGUGGCGGCAGCGGCGGUGGUAGUGGUAAUUCCGGCCUACCUGGCAACAGUAGUGCACCCGGAUCUACCGCGGCACAUCGUUCUACAUCGCCAGCCUCAAGUGGUGGCAGUUUAAGCCGACAAAGCCCUCUGCAUCCGGUACCGCAAAGCCCACUUAGCCAUCAUCCUUCAUCGUCGGCACUUUCGGCGGCAGCAGCUGCGGUAGCAGAACGUGAUCGUCAUGCGCUUUUACGACAACAAUCGCCGCACAUGACACCACCACCUGUAUCCAGCGCUUCCACACUGAUGGCCAGUCCAUUGAGCAAAAUGUAUUGUCCACAACCAAAUCAGCGUGUACUAGGCACUUCACCGCCACCACAUUUACGACCAGGCGCUUCGCCACCCGUAAUUCGACAUCCACAAAUGCCACUGCCAUUGCCAUUGAUCCCCACAGGCGCUGGUAUACCACAAAUAGCAGUACAUCCCGGUCAAUCGCCAUAUCCCCAUCCACUUCUGCAUCCAUCUAUGUUCUACUCCCCGCAUCAUCACAAUCCAUUCAACUAUGGUUACGGGCCAUAUGGACCCGGUUUUCCUGCAGCCUACAUGAAGCCACCACCUCCAGGUGGUCCACUCGACCCGGCCUCGGUGUUGGGUGGUCAUCAUCCUGGACUGCCGGGGCCGCCGCCAACACGGCCCGACGAUCCAGCUAUGGCUGCUGCAGCAGCAGUGGCUGCCGAAAAACAAGCAGUCGCUGCACAUCAACUUAAACAACAGCAACAACAUCAUCAGCAUCAACAGCAACAAGCAGCCGCACAAGCGCAAGCGCAAGCCCAGGCACAAGCUCAAGCGCAGGCUCAGGCGCAUGCGCAGGCACAAGCACAGGCUCAAGCACAAGCGCAAGCGCAAGCACAAGCGCAGGCUCAGGCACAGACACAGAACAAACCUCCAACACCAAAGACGCCACAGGGUAGUGGUAGUGGUGGCGGCGGCCCACCAGGUAAUUCACAUGCAACGCCAACAGGUCUGCCACCAGCCGGUUAUCCUGGCUCACAUUUAUCCGGUUAUCCGCCACCACCGCACUCCUCACCAUUCCAAGAUGGUCAACAGAUGGGUAUGAAGCCAACAUCGCAUAUGGAUGCGUUACGUGCACACGCACAUUCGGCAAACCUGGGUGGUCCGCAUCAUCCAACGGAGCCAUUACCAAUCGAUAUUGAGCCCGAUCCAGAGCCAGAAAUUCCCAGCCCAACGCAAAAUAUACAGCGUGGUCCUAGUCCCGAAGCCAAGCCAGACGAUACCGAAUGUCAUCGCUCGCAGUCAGCUAUCUUUGUACGGCACAUUGAUCGUGGUGACUACAAUUCCUGCACACGCACGGAUUUGAUUUUCAAGCCAGUCGCCGAUUCGAAAUUGGCGAGAAAGCGGGAAGAACGGGACCGCAAGCUGGCCGAAAAAGAGCGUGAGCGGCGUCAACAACAACAGCAACAACAACAGCAGCAGCAACAACAAGCUGUUGCAGCGCAGCAAGCUGCUCAGCAAGCCAAAAUGAAGGCCGAAUUGAAACCGCCAUAUGCAGAUACGCCGGCGCUGCGCCAAUUAUCCGAGUAUGCCAGACCACAUGUGGCAUUCAGCCCUGUUGAACAGAUGGUACCUUAUCAUCACCCAAUGGGGCCCAUGUAUAGUAGAGAGAGGGAAUUGGAGGAAAUCAAGAACGCACAAGCGGCCGCAGCCAGUCAAUCGCGUCUGGAUCCGCACUGGAUGGAAUAUUAUAGGCGUGGCAUGCAUCCAUCACAAUUUCCGCUCUACGCCAAUCCGGCUGCUAUUUCACAAAUGGAGCGCGAACGCCUCGGCAUACCGCCGCCACAUCACGUUGGCUUAGAUCCCGGCGAGCAUAUGAUACGAUUGACGAGAGAAUAUCAUGCACACUCUCAUACUCAUUUACAUUUGCCUUUGCCUUCACAGCCGCAACCACCGGAGGCCGGAUUUCAACUGCCACCGAAUGUUGGUCAAUAUCCACGCCCAAGUAUGCUUAUGCCUAGAGAACCGGAUGUUUUGCUGCGCAUGUCCUACGCGGAUCAACUUCAGUAUUUGCAGGCUGCUGAGUUCCAGCGACAGUCAUUGCACGAGCAAUAUUUUAGACCACGGCCCAGAUAAAUGGACCACUAUGGUAGAACGUUUUAUAGUACGCGUUAAAAUUUUGAAAACCAAUGGCAUAUGGAUUGAAGAAGCUGAUUAUAUGGAAUUAAAAAAAUAUAUAUAUAUAUGUAUAUAUACAUAUAUACGAACAACCCAACUAUUGUAUAACGCUUGGAUAAUACAACAAUAGAUAGUUGCUAAUGCUUUUGUAAAUGUAAUAUGCAACACCUAAACGCAGUACUUCCUUAAACAACAUUCGUUCUACCGUUUUAACUGUAAAAAUGUAAAAAAGAAAGAAAUUCAACAAUGAUGGCAAUCAACAUUACCGGCAUUGACACAAGAAAUGACAACACAAUGACGAAGAGGAAGCAGUCAAUGCAGCAGCAGCAACGCUAACACGACUUUCCUUCACUCCGCUCCGCUCCACUCCACUCCACCCCACACCACACCAUACUGUUCCACUUCACUCAAUUUCACUUGACUCGUAUUCAACUGUGCGCCGUAAAGUUGUUAUGAAAUGUUAUGCUUCAUUUUACUUCCAUGAAAUGUGCGAAAACUUAAUUUGUUGUUAUCUCAGCUCUCAGCUCUCGGAUUGUAUAGUUUGUACAUUUCAUUUGUGUGUGUGUAAAUGAUUAAUUCGUUGCAAAUUGUUGACAGUUUUACCCUUCGACGGCGAAAAAAAUCAGCUACGUUAGUUUCUACUUGGCGUAAAUAGCACAAAAAAUUCAAGUCCGUCGUGAAACAUUCAAACGCAAGCAGCAACCAAAAUUUUUUUAAACUAAAUUUAAUAACACAAAACCAAAAA